rnacentral:lncRNA from 1 species
UUUGUGAUAAUGCGAAAAAGAUCCAAAAACGUACACACAAGUAAUUAUCCGGAAACUACAAACAUGAUUGUUUUUUGUCCCUUUUUGUUCCUUCAUUCCUAAACUGUUAGUACCAUAACCCCAAAAUGAAACCUAACAUUCUACUUGUGGUAUUGAACACUGUGGUACAAUUUCAGAACAAUCAAAAUUCUUAUACACAAGUAAUUAUCCUGAAACUAAAAACAUGCUUCUUUUAUGCCCCUUUUUCGUAAACGGUUGGAACCAUCAUCCCCAACAUUAUCCCAACCUUCCUUUUGUGGUAUUGAACCUUCUUUAAAAUUUAUAUAGAUCCAUUCACUUAAAUUAAAGUUGUCCGGAAACCAAAUGGGUCUUCGGACGACGCAGACGAUAACGACAUCAUAGCAAUAUACGAACCGGAAAAAAACAUUGCGGGGAAACAUUUCAGUUUACAGUUCACACAUGUCAAUACUGUGGGAAAACGUAUAAAUGGCCAGCCA